UUUGAUGGCGACCGGCGCACGGGUGAGUAACACGUAUCCAACCUGCCGAUGACUCGGGGAUAGCCUUUCGAAAGAAAGAUUAAUACCCGAUGGCAUAGUUCUUCCCCAUGGUAGAACUAUUAAAGAAUUUCGGUCAUCGAUGGGGAUGCGUUCCAUUAGCUUGUUGGCGGGGUAACGGCCCACCAAGGCAUCGAUGGAUAGGGGUUCUGAGAGGAAGGUCCCCCACAUUGGAACUGAGACACGGUCCAAACUCCUACGGGAGGCAGCAG
rnacentral:rRNA from 1 species